rnacentral:misc_RNA from 1 species
AACCAUUCUCACCUGCGGCUAGACCUGCGGAAGGAUCAUUACCGAGUGAGGGCCCUCCGGGUCCAACCUCCCACCCGUGUUUAACGAACCUUGUUGCUUCGGCGGGCCCGCCUCACGGCCGCCGGGGGGCACCCCGCCCCCGGGCCCGCGCCCGCCGAAGACACCUGUGAACGCUGUCUGAAGUUGCAGUCUGAGACACUAGCUCAAUCAGUUAAAACUUUCAACAAUGGAUCUCAGAUC